AGAGCCGCUUUGAGGUUC
rnacentral:siRNA from 1 species